rnacentral:rRNA from 1 species
UACGUAGGGGGCUAGCGUUGUCCGGAUUUAUUGGGCGUAAAGAGCGUGUAGGCGGCCAGGUAGGUCUGCUGUGAAAACUCGAGGCUCAACCUCGAGACGUCGGCGGAAACCAUCUGGCUAGAGUCCGGAAGAGGAGAGUGGGAAUUCCUGGUGUAGCGGUGAAAUGACGCAGAUAUCAGGAAGAACACCCGUGGCGAAGGCGGCUCUCUGGACGGUUUCUGACGCUAAGACGCGAAAGCGUGGGGAGCAAACAGG